GAAUAUAGGACGUCCAACUUAACUUGGAGUCCGAACUCUCACUUUCUAACCCUGUGCAUUUGUUUGGGAUAGUAACUCUCGCAAGAGGGCGAACUCCUAUUCACUUAUAAACACAAAGUCUAUGAAUGUAUUAAAUUUUAUAACAAAAUAAAACUUUCAACAACGGAUCUCUUGGCUCUCGCAUCGAUGAAGAACGCAGCGAAAUGCGAUAAGUAAUGUGAAUUGCAGAAUUCAGUGAAUCAUCGAAUCUUUGAACGCACCUUGCGCUCCAUGGUAUUCCGUGGAGCAUGCCUGUUUGAGUGUCAUGAAUACUUCAACCCUCCUCUUUCUUAAUGAUUGAAGAGGUGUUUGGUUUCUGAGCGCUGCUGGCCUUUAGGGUCUAGCUCGUUCGUAAUGCAUUAGCAUCCGCAAUCGAACUUCGGAUUGACUUGGCGUAAUAGACUAUUCGCUGAGGAAUUCUAGUCUUCGGACUAGAGCCGGGUUGGGUUAAAGGAAGCUUCUAAUCAGAAUGUCUACAUUUAAGAUUAGAUCUCAAAUCAGGUAGACCACCCCGCUGAACUUAAGCAUAUCA
rnacentral:rRNA from 1 species